rnacentral:tRNA from 1 species
GGGGAUUUAGCUCAGUGGUAGAGCGCUUGCCUAGCAAGCACAAGGCCCUGGGUUCAGUCCCUAGCUCCA